UUCUCUCUGCCUGCCUCUCUGCUUACUUGUGAUUUCUCUCUGUCAAAUAAAUAAAUAAAAUCUUUAAAAAAAAAAAAAAGAGAUGGGAUUUCUGUUGCCUCACUAUAUCAAGGAGCUCUCCCCAUUACUCUCUGCCAUCACCCUGUUCAUUUCCUUUUUAACCGUUUACAAUUAACUGUGCAACAAAUCACUCCAAAACUUAGUGGCUUGCAAAUGGUUGCAAAAGCAACCAUUCUAUUAUUAUAUCUCUAAGUUUCUUUGGGACAGGUAUCAAGGAAAGGCUUGGCUGGGUAGCUUCUGCUCAGGGUCUCUCAUCCAGUAGUAGUAAGGAAGCAACUGGAACUGGAACAGUGUGGGGCCAGAGCAGUGGGCCUGGCAGGUCAUCACUCCCCUUCAUGUAAUCUCAUGGUCUCUCUAGGAAGGCUAGUUUUAGCGUCUUCAUAGCAUGGUGGCCACAGGGGAAUCCAAUUGCUUACAUAGUGGUUGAGGCUUCAAAAGGCAAGUGUUCCUGUGAGCAAAGUGGAAGUUGUAUGACCUUUUAGUAGUGAUAUUGAAAGUCUUACAGCCUCAUUUCUACUUUUUAUUGGCCCAGGUUCAAGGACGGGAAAAUAAGUCUCCAUGUCUUGAUGGAGAGAUGACUCUAGGAAAGCAUGUGGGACGGGAGAUCUUGUUGCAUGCAACCUUGGAAAAUAUGAUCUUCCAUAACACCAUUUGUUACAGUAUGUAAUUGUACUGCUUAUUGUUAAUUUCUCUAUUAUGUCUCCCUCCUUAGAAUGUGCAUCUUCGAGGCCCGGAUCCUUGUCUGUAAGAUGCCCAAAGUGGGCUUUGCUGCAAUUGUUGUUGAGCUGAAUUUUGAAUGAAUGCCCAAAUGUCAGGAUAAACUGAUGUUUUAACUCAAUUUUUUUUCAUGAAACAAAACACAUUAUUUGUGCAAUGUCUUUCCUCUCGACCCACCCAAUUUCUAAAGGACACAGCAAUAACUACACAGCAGCAGUAAGAAGCCCCUACUAUCCCUUCUUCCUCUUAAGUCGACAUUUCUCCAAUGCAGUUUAGUUCCCAUUUGGAAGACACAGACAUUCUGAGGCUCCCCUGGGUUCCUUGGGCUUCCUGUCUCAGAAGCCCAAGACCUAGCCCCUCUGCUAGAUGCAGGCUCUGCUAUCAAGUACCUUCUUUCCCUUUAGCCUUCCACCCUAUCUAGUCUUUCCGGUAGCACUCCAAGUCUUCCGAGGCAGUGCAGUGGGUAUGUCAAGGCGAUUCUCUGCUACGGAUACUUCAUUGACUGAUCAUUGGAUUACAUUUUACCCAGCCAGCUAGUAAGACAUUUGGCUGUCGAUUGGCUGGCUUUCCAUAUAAUGUUUUAUAUCUGGGUAAGGAACUAUUUGCUGAACCUUUUGGGCUCCCUUGAAGUUUUUCCCCUUAAUCAACUCAACUCUCACUAUAUAUGCUGCAAGUAUUUUGUUAAAUUGCUUGGAAAAGAAUUUGGAGACAAGUAGAAUUGAGGUUGAAUAGGUCCAACCAAAGUGUUCCCAGUAGAUUUGGCCGGGGACGGUGGGGGUGGGGGGCAGGUGCGGAUCUCAUAGGCUGCUUUCUUCGUGUACGAAAUGCACUUUGUCUCCCAAAGGAAGAGUAAUGAUGUAUCUUCACAUGGUGAUUUUCAGGUGAGGAUUCCUUGUAAAUAUUAGCAUUGCUGUUUUCCUUCCCUGAUGAGGUAAGAAGCAAAUUAGAUAAUGAAGUAAGACUGGCGGUAUGAAGUUCUAAUGUCAAGAAGUUCUAUAAUCUGGUUUCCCUUCUAUAGAGCAUUCAGGUCAUAUCUUUUUGUUAGGAAAUUUGACUUCAUAGAACAUUAACUAAAUACAUUAUGUUUGGAGCAAUAUGACAAUUCCAUGGUAUUAUUGGCCCAGGUUACCUGCCUGCAAAUAAACUUUUCUGAGUCUGGGUAUGUAUAUUGUUGUGGCUGUCUCUGCUUCUAGUCAGGUCGCUCAUAAACACAAUAAUGAAAGGAAGAGUAUCCUUCUCUAGCUGGACUUAAAGAGACAGCCGAUCAAAGAGGCUGGAAGCAGGAGCUUAUGACACUUACGGUAAUGGUGGCAAGAUUGUUUUGGCGGGCCCAGGAGUCUGGUCAGUCUGGAUAUGGGAAUGGGAAUAGCAGGGAACCUUAACAAUGCCCAGGGUGACAAAUGAUGAUGGGUUCAUUUAAUGGACUAAGUGAAAAAUCUCAUCUGGAAUUUUAAUUGUGGCACAAGAUCUUACCCUUCUCUCUUGACCCAGGUCCCAAACACAGGCCUUAGGUAAAUAACCAAAGUGGGUUGGAUUUAAGCCAAAAAAUUUCUUUGCCAGGUCCUGGACUAGUCUUUGGUAAUUAUCCAUUGGUGCCUGGUUGUAAUGUUCUUAACACCAUCCUGUGAUGAAAUCAUCAUUUCCUGGCCCGAAUCUCAGGAGAGCACGGAGAUUAUAUCUACAGGCUCUGAAGUUAUUCUGAUCAAUGUGGGAGCCACCGAAUUGUUCAAUAACCAUGCCUGGCUGAUGAGCCCUUGAAAUGCGGCUACUGUGACUGAAGAAAUGAAUGUCUAAUGUGCUUAAUCCUGACUAGGUUGCCAUUAAAAACUGAGACUUGAUUCAGUUUGGCAGCGUUUAAGUGUGCUUGGAAUAACUUAGACACCCAGCCUUAGCAGCCCAGUUUAAGUUGAUUUUGAACAGAUGGAUGAAUUCCAGCGUACGUGAAAAUAUUGUACUUGUUUGUGUGAUUAUGAUGCUAUUGCUGAAAUUGAACACAACAGCUGUUGAAAGAACAGCGGGCAGCCCCAGCUUUGCAUCAUGAGGAUGACUGACUGCCAUGCGCAAAUAUUUACUCUGUGCUCUUGUGUACAUUCUCCUCAAUGAAGCACAAGCCUGGAAUUAAGAUACAGGACGUUCGCUUCUUUCCCUUUUGGAGGCAGAGCCAUGUUUCCACUGGGGACAGUAAUACUAUUCUGACUUUGUAGUUAAAACAGCCUAUAAACCGGGCUUUCGAUCUUGCCCUUCAGAGUGUGGCCCAUGUACCAGCAGCACUAACAUGAACUGGGAAUUUAGUAGAGAUCUAGAAUCUCAGGCCCCACCCUGGACCUACUGAAUCAGAAUCUGUACUUCAGCAAAGUCCCUAAGUGACCGAAGGCACACUAAACUUUGAGAAGCACCCCUUUAAGACAAUGAAAAAUGAGACCUUGGGAAGUGUGAUGCCAUUUCUGGAACGUGGUAUUAUGGGUUGUAUUGUGUUUCCCUCACAAAAUUCAUAUGUUGGUGUUCUAACCUUCAGUACCUCAGUA